rnacentral:rRNA from 1 species
UUAGGUUAAGUUAGAAAGGGCGCACGGUGGAUGCCUUGGCACUAGGAGCCGAUGAAGGACGGGACUAACACCGAUAUGCUCCGGGGAGCUGUAAGUGAGCUUUGAUCCGGAGAUUUCCGAAUGGGGAAACCCACUAUCCGUAAUGGGAUAGUAUCUUUACCUGAAUUCAUAGGGUAUUGAAGGCAUACCCGGGGAACUGAAACAUCUAAGUACCCGGAGGAAGAGAAAGCAAACGCGAUUCCCCAAGUAGCGGCGAGCGAAACGGGACAUAGCCCAAACCGAAAGGCUUGCCUUUCGGGGUUGUAGGACACUCAAUAUGGAGUUACAAAGGAANAAGUAGGCGAAGAGGUCUGGAAAGGCCUGCCGUAGAAGGUAAAAGCCCUGUAGCUGAAACUUCGUUCCCUCCUGAGUGGAUCCUGAGUACGGCCGGACACGUGAAAUCCGGUCGGAAUCCGGGAGGACCAUCUCCCAAGGCUAAAUACUCCCUAGUGACCGAUAGUGAACCAGUACCGUGAGGGAAAGGUGAAAAGCACCCCGGAAGGGGAGUGAAAGAGAUCCUGAAACCGUGUGCCUACAAGUAGUCAGAGCCCGUUCAUGGGUGAUGGCGUGCCUUUUGUAGAAUGAACCGGCGAGUUACGGUCCCAUGCAAGGUUAAGCUGAAAAAGCGGAGCCGCAGCGAAAGCGAGUCUGAAUAGGGCGAAUGAGUAUGUGGCCGUAGACCCGAAACCAGGUGAUCUACCCAUGUCCAGGGUGAAGGUAGGGUAACACCUACUGGAGGCCCGAACCCACGUACGUUGAAAAGUGCGGGGAUGAGGUGUGGGUAGCGGAGAAAUUCCAAUCGAACCUGGAGAUAGCUGGUUCUCUCCGAAAUAGCUUUAGGGCUAGCCUCACGU